CCUACGGGAGGCAGCAGUGGGGGAUAUUGGACAAUGGGGGGAACCCUGAUCCAGCGACGCCGCGUGAGUGAAGAAGUAUUUCGGUACGUAAAGCUCUAUCAGCAGGGAAGAAAAUGACGGUACCUGACUAAGAAGCCCCGGCUAACUACGUGCCAGCAGCCGCGGUAAUACGUAGGGGGCAAGCGUUAUCCGGAUUUACUGGGUGUAAAGGGAGCGUAGACGGCAGCACAAGUCUGGAGUGAAAUCCCGGGGCUUAACCCCGGAACUGCUUUGGAAACUGUGCGGCUGGAGUGCAGGAGGGGUAAGCGGAAUUCCUAGUGUAGCGGUGAAAUGCGUAGAUAUUAGGAGGAACACCGGUGGCGAAGGCGGCUUACUGGACUGUAACUGACGUUGAGGCUCGAAAGCGUGGGGAGCAAACAGGAUUAGAUACCCGUGUAGUC
rnacentral:rRNA from 1 species